rnacentral:rRNA from 1 species
GAUGAACGCUGGCGGCGUGCCUAAUACAUGCAAGUCGAGCGAAUGGAUUAAGAGCUUGCUCUUAUGAAGUUAGCGGCGGACGGGUGAGUAACACGUGGGUAACCUGCCCAUAAGACUGGGAUACUCCGGGAAACCGGGGCUAAUACCGGAUAACAUUUUGAAACGCAUGGUUCGAAAUUGAAAGGCGGCUUUGGCUGUCAAUUAUGGCUGGAACCGCGUCGCAUUAGCUAGUUGGUGAGGUAACGGCUCACCAAGGCAACGAUGCGUAGCCGACCUGAGAGGGUGAUCGGCCACACUGGGACUGAGACACGGCCCAGACUCCUACGGGAGGCAGCAGUAGGGAAUCUUCCGCAAUGGACGAAAGUCUGACGGAGCAACGCCGCGUGAGUGAUGAAGGCUUUCGGGUCGUAAAACUCUGUUGUUAGGGAAGAACAAGUGCUAGUUGAAUAAGCUGGCACCUUGACGGUACCUAACCAGAAAGCCACGGCUAACUACGUGCCAGCAGCCGCAGUAA